rnacentral:rRNA from 1 species
CGAGUGAGUAAGAUCCCUCAGAGACGAUGAGGUUGAUAGGUUCGGUGUGGAAGCGUGGUGACACGUGGAGCUUACGGAUACUAAUCGAUCGAGGACUUAACUAAAUU